UACGUAGGUGGCAAGCGUUUGUCCGGAAUUAUUGGGCGUAAAGCGCGCGUAGGCGGAUCAGGAAGUUGGGGGUGAAAUCCCGGGGCUCAACCCCGGAAUGGCCUUCAAAACUCCUGGUCUUGAGUUCGAGAGAGGUGAGUGGAAUUCCGAGUGUAGAGGUGAAAUUCGUAGAUAUUCGGAGGAACACCAGUGGCGAAGGCGGCUCACUGGACCGGAACUGACGCUGAGGCGCGAAAGCGUGGGGAGCAAACAGG
rnacentral:rRNA from 1 species